rnacentral:tRNA from 1 species
GCUUCCGUAGUCUAGUGGUCAAGGACAGUGCCCUCUCGCGGCGCAGACCCGGGUUCAAAUCCCGGCGGGAGCA